rnacentral:rRNA from 1 species
UUACCGAGUUUACAACUCCCAAACCCAAUGUGAACGUUACCAAACUGUUGCCUCGGCGGGAUCUCUGCCCCGGGUGCGUCGCAGCCCCGGACCAAGGCGCCCGCCGGAGGACCAACCAAAACUCUUAUUGUAUACCCCCUCGCGGGUUUUUUUAUAAUCUGAGCCUUCUCGGCGCCUCUCGUAGGCGUUUCGAAAAUGAAUCAAAACUUUCAACAACGGAUCUCUUGGUUCUGGCAUCGAUGAAGAACGCAGCGAAAUGCGAUAAGUAAUGUGAAUUGCAGAAUUCAGUGAAUCAUCGAAUCUUUGAACGCACAUUGCGCCCGCCAGUAUUCUGGCGGGCAUGCCUGUCCGAGCGUCAUUUCAACCCUCGAACCCCUCCGGGGGGUCGGCGUUGGGGAUCGGCCCUGCCUCUUGGCGGCGGCCGUCUCCGAAAUACAGUGGCGGUCUCGCCGCAGCCUCUCCUGCGCAGUAGUUUGCACACUCGCAUCGGGAGCGCGGCGCGUCCACAGCCGUUAAACACCCAACUUCUGAAAUGUUGACCUCGGAUCAGGUAGGAAUACCCGCUGAACUUAAGCAUAUCAAUA